GACGGAGGGUGCAAGCGUUGUUCGGAAUUACUGGGCGUAAAGGGCGCGUAGGCGGUCUGUUAAGUCGAACGUGAAAUCCCCGGGCUCAACCCGGGAACUGCGUCCGAUACUGGCAGGCUUGAAUCCGGGAGAGGGAUGCGGAAUUCCAGGUGUAGCGGUGAAAUGCGUAGAUAUCUGGAGGAACACCGGUGGCGAAGGCGGCAUCCUGGACCGGCAUUGACGCUGAGGCGCGAAAGCGUGGGGAGCGAACAGG
rnacentral:rRNA from 1 species